rnacentral:rRNA from 1 species
CCUGAUGCAGCGACGCCGCGUGAGGGAUGACGGCCUUCGGGUUGUAAACCUCUUUCAGCAGGGAAGAAGCGAAAGUGACGGUACCUGCAGAAGAAGCGCCGGCUAACUACGUGCCAGCAGCCGCGGUAAUACGUAGGGCGCAAGCGUUGUCCGGAAUUAUUGGGCGUAAAGAGCUCGUAGGCGGCUUGUCACGUCGGGUGUGAAAGCCCGGGGCUUAACCCCGGGUCUGCAUUCGAUACGGGCUAGCUAGAGUGUGGUAGGGGAGAUCGGAAUUCCUGGUGUAGCGGUGAAAUGCGCAGAUAUCAGGAGGAACACCGGUGGCGAAGGCGGAUCUCUGGGCCAUUACUGACGCUGAGGAGCGAAAGCGUGGGGAGCGAACAGGAUUAGAUACCCUGGUAGUCCACGCCGUAAACGGUGGGCACUAGGUGUUGGCGACAUUCCACGUCGUCGGUGCCGCAGCUAACGCAUUAAGUGCCCCGCCUGGGGAGUACGGCCGCAAGGCUAAAACUCA